rnacentral:rRNA from 1 species
AGUCGAGGGGUAUAUUUCUUCGGAGAUAGAGACCGGCGCACGGGUGCGUAACGCGUAUGCAAUCUGCCUUUCACAGAGGGAUAGCCCAGAGAAAUUUGGAUUAAUACCUCAUAGUAUUAUGGAGUGGCAUCACUUUAUAAUUAAAGUCACAACGGUGAAAGAUGAGCAUGCGUCCCAUUAGCUAGUUGGUAAGGUAACGGCUUACCAAGGCAACGAUGGGUAGGGGUCCUGAGAGGGAGAUCCCCCACACUGGUACUGAGACACGGACCAGACUCCUACGGGAGGCAGCAGUGAGGAAUAUUGGACAAUGGGCGCAAGCCUGAUCCAGCCAUGCCGCGUGCAGGAUGACGGUCCUAUGGAUUGUAAACUGCUUUUGUACGAGAAGAAACAUCCCGACGUGUCGGGACUUGACGGUAUCGUAAGAAUAAGGAUCGGCUAACUCCGUGCCAGCAGCCGCGGUAAUACGGAGGAUCCAAGCGUUAUCCGGAAUCAUUGGGUUUAAAGGGUCCGUAGGCGGUUUAGUAAGUCAGUGGUGAAAGCCCAUCGCUCAACGGUGGAACGGCCAUUGAUACUGCUGAACUUGAAUUACUGGGAAGUAACUAGAAUAUGUAGUGUAGCGGUGAAAUGCUUAGAUAUUACAUGGAAUACCAAUUGCGAAGGCAGGUUACUACCAGUUGAUUGACGCUGAUGGAC